rnacentral:rRNA from 1 species
GAUGAACGCUAGCGGCAGGCCUAAUACAUGCAAGUCGAACGGUGUCUUCGGACAUAGUGGCGCACGGGUGCGUAACACGUAUGCAACCUACCUUACAUUGGGGGAUAGCCUUUCGAAAGGGAGAUUAAUACCGCAUAAGACAGUAGCUGGGCAUCCAGCAGCUGUUAAAGAUUUAUCGAUGUAAGCUGGGCAUGCGUCCAAUUAGCUAGUUGGUGGGGUAACGGCUCACCAAGGCAAUGAUUGGUAGGGGAACGGAGAGGUCAAUCCCCCACACUGGCACUGAGACACGGCCCAGACUCCUACGGGAGGCAGCAGUGGGGAAUUUUGGACAAUGGGCGCAAGCCUGAUCCAGCCAUGCCGCGUGUCUGAAGAAGGCCUUCGGGUUGUAAAGGACUUUUGUCCGGGAGCAAAUGCUGGUGGCUAACAUCCACCGGAGCUGAGAGUACCGGAAGAAUAAGCACCGACUAACUACGUGCCAGCAGCCGCGGUAAGAC